UACGGAGGGUGCGAGCGUUGUCCGGAAUCACUGGGCGUAAAGGGCGCGUAGGCGGCGCGGGUAGUCAUCGGUGAAAGUUCAGGGCUCAACUCUGAAUCGGCCGGUGAUACUCCCGUGCUCGAGCACUGUAGAGGCAGGUGGAAUUCCGGGUGUAGUGGUGGAAUGGCGUAGAGAUCCGGAAGAACACCGGUGGCGAAGGCGGCCGUGCUGGGCAGUAGCUGACGCUGAUGCGCGACAGCGUGGGGAGCAAACAGG
rnacentral:rRNA from 1 species